rnacentral:rRNA from 1 species
CCUACGGGCGGCUGCAGUGAGGAAUAUUGGUCAAUGGCCGUAAGGCUGAACCAGCCAAGUAGCGUGAAGGAAGAAGGAUCUAUGGUUUGUAAACUUCUUUUAUAGGGGAAUAAAGGUAUCCACGUGUGGAUUUUUGCAUGUACCCUAUGAAUAAGCAUCGGCUAACUCCGUGCCAGCAGCCGCGGUAAUACGGAGGAUGCGAGCGUUAUCCGGAUUUAUUGGGUUUAAAGGGUGCGUAGGUUGUUUUUUAAGUCAGCGGUGAAAGUUUGUGGCUCAACCAUAAAAUUGCCGUUGAAACUGGAAGACUUGAGUGUGUUUGAGGUAGGCGGAAUGCGUGGUGUAGCGGUGAAAUGCAUAGAUAUCACGCAGAACUCCGAUUGCGAAGGCAGCUUACUAGGCCAUAACUGACACUGAAGCACGAAAGCGUGGGGAUCAAACAGGAUUAGAUACCCUUGUAGUC